AGGGUGUCAGGGGUGCAUCUGAAUUUUUGGGACAUCAUGUGAGUAGUUAGACGGUAGAGGUUGAGACAGAGAAAUUCAACUUGGUUUCUCUGGGUUUUCAGACUGCUCUUGGGGAAUGGGGGAGGGGUGGGUUGUUCUCUGAACUUAUAAAACAUUUGGUGCUCAUUCCUCUCCAGAUAUAUUUCAUGUUACUGUGAAAGCUGUGUAAGUUCAUGCCUACUCAGACCCAGCGAGUCUCCCAGUGUUCCCCAGAUACUGUUUCCCUGGCCAACUCUGCUUAACUGAAAUCCUGGACAUUACACCAUCAACUGCAGAAAUUCCUUUUCCUGUGAACCACAAGAGGAUGACCAUUCUCCCACAAGAUCACUCAGAACUACAGCAUGCAAACACACUAAUAUCACCAAAGCUGCCGACAAUGCCGAUGAAGAUGAAGGUGAAGUGUGAUGUUGAUUGCUGCUCCUUAUAACUGUAGAAACCUGACUACCUACUUUGGCAGCAGCUCGAAGAGGGGGUUCAGGGAAAGCCAACAACCCAACAGAAUAUAAGAAGCUAAAGAGCCAGCCAUCUGCAUACGGGAACACGUGAAAGUGGUUACACUGCGGUUUUUGGAGCUCAAAAGCCAGUGGAGUUUGCUGUAGAGAGUCUACAACAGAAAAAUUCGCAGACUCUCUCAGAAGGCUUGGGAAAGAAAAGGAUAUUCUAGCCAGUGGGGUUGUGACUCCAGCUGAGGGUAGCUCGAGCCUGUACUGGUGACUGCAAAGCCAAAGGCAAGCACCUUUUCCCUGAAUUUGUGCCCCAGAAGUUAGACGCCAGAUGUAGCACGAAUCCUAAUUGUUCUUAAUAAAAACACAAAGUCAGAUAUCAGGGUAAAUGCUGAAAGAUCAGAGAGACAAAGGAACAAGCCACAACCACUUGUGACCUGGCCAAA